rnacentral:rRNA from 1 species
AGAGUUUGAUCCUGGCUCAGGACGAACGCUGGCGGCGCGCCUAACACAUGCAAGUCGAACGGAGUCAAGAGGAGCUUGCUUUUCUUGACUUAGUGGCGAACGGGUGAGUAACGCGUGAGUAACCUGCCCUGGAGUGGGGGACAACAGUUGGAAACGACUGCUAAUACCGCAUAAGCCCACGAUCCGGCAUCGGAUUGAGGGAAAAGGAUUUAUUCGCUUCAGGAUGGACUCGCGUCCAAUUAGCUAGUUGGUGAGGUAACGGCCCACCAAGGCGACGAUUGGUAGCCGGACUGAGAGGUUGAACGGCCACAUUGGGACUGAGACACGGCCCAGACUCCUACGGGAGGCAGCAGUGGGGGAUAUUGCACAAUGGGGGAAACCCUGAUGCAGCGACGCCGCGUGGAGGAAGAAGGUUUUCGGAUUGUAAACUCCUGUCGUUAGGGACGAUAAUGACGGUACCUAACAAGAAAGCACCGGCUAACUACGUGCCAGCAGCCGCGGUAAAACGUAGGGUGCAAGCGUUGUCCGGAAUUACUGGGUGUAAAGGGAGCGCAGGCGGACCGGCAAGUUGGAAGUGAAAACUAUGGGCUCAACCCAUAAAUUGCUUUCAAAACUGCUGGCCUUGAGUAGUGCAGAGGUAGGUGGAAUUCCCGGUGUAGCGGUGGAAUGCGUAGAUAUCGGGAGGAACACCAGUGGCGAAGGCGGCCUACUGGGCACCAACUGACGCUGAGGCUCGAAAGUGUGGGUAGCAAACAGGAUUAGAUACCCUGGUAGUCCACACCGUAAACGAUGAUUACUAGGUGUUGGAGGAUUGACCCCUUCAGUGCCGCAGUUAACACAAUAAGUAAUCCACCUGGGGAGUACGACCGCAAGGUUG